rnacentral:misc_RNA from 1 species
GAUGAAGAACGUAGUGAAAUGCGAUAAGUAAUGUGAAUUGCAGAAUUCAGUGGAUCAUCGAAUCUUUGAACGCACAUUGCGCCCCUUGGUAUUCCGAGGGGCAUGCCUGUUCGAGCGUCAUUAUAACCCCUCAAGCUUAGCUUGGUGUUGGGGCCUGCUGUAAUAGAGCAGCCCUUAAAAUCAGUGGCGGUGCCAUUAGGCUCUAAGCGUAGUAAUUCUUCUCGCUAUAGGGUUCUGGUGGAUGCUUGCCAUUAACCUCUAAUUUUCUAUGGUUGACCUCGGAUCAGGUAGGGAUACCCGCUGAACUUAAGCAUAUCAAUAAGCGGAGGA